CCCUUGGAGUGGAAGGAAAGAACUGACUCAGGUAAAUUAUCUGACUUCCACCUGCAAGCUGUGACACACCCUCGCAAUAAAAGAAAUCGUGUAAUUUUAAAGUAACUUAACGGUAUUGUAAUUUUGGGAAAGCAAUCCAGGCUGUCUGGUUUCAAGGCAAUUUGAAACACUAGAAAUAAAAAUAAUAACACAUUAUUAACCACCUUGUCUGCAAAAUCAGAGAGCAGCCCCUUUUAUUAGACUGUUCAUGUGACAUUCUUUUCUUUUCUUUCUUUCUUUCCUUUCUUUCUUUCUCUCUUUCUUUUUAUUUCCAUGUCCUGAAGAAUCUUAAGGAUGGGGCAUCCCUCUCAGCAUCCCAAGACUUGGGAAGGUAAAAGAAGGACCUUCAAUUUGGUAAAGGAAAAAACCAAAUGGAAAACUGAGUGAUGAUUUUAAUCCCAGCACUCAUGUGGCAGGGGCCAGUCUGGAUUACAGAGCAAGUUUCAGAGCAGCCAGAGCUACACAGAAAGACCCUGUCUCAACAAAAUGAAACAAACAACAGCAACAAACAAACACACGCACAAAAGGUUCAUGAAA
rnacentral:lncRNA from 1 species